rnacentral:rRNA from 1 species
CCUACGGGAGGCAGCAGUGAGGAAUAUUGGUCAAUGGCCGGAAGGCUGAACCAGCCAAGCCGCGUGAAGGACGAAGGUGCCAAGCAUUGUAAACUUCUUUUGUCAAGGGAUAAAAUCAGGCUCGUGAGCCUGAUCGAGGGUACUCGAAGAAAAAGCAUCGGCUAACACCGUGCCAGCAGCCGCGGUAAUACGGAGGAUGCGAGGGUUAUCCGGAUUUAUUGGGUUUAAGGGGGGCGUAGGCGGAUUGAUAAGUUAGAGGUGAAAGGUCCGGGCUUAACUCGGGAACUGCCGCUGAUACUGUUGAUCUUGAGUGUAGAUGCGGUAGGCGGAAUGUAUGGUGUAGUGGUGAAAUGCUUAGAGAUCAUACAGAACUCCGAUUGCGAAGGCAGCUUACCAAUCUAUAUCUGACGUUGAGGCACGAAAGCGUGGGGAGCAAACAGGAUUAGAUACCCUAGUAGUC